rnacentral:rRNA from 1 species
AUUGAACGCUGGCGGCAGGCUUAACACAUGCAAGUCGAGCGAGCGGCGGACGGGUGAGUAAUGUCUGGGAAACUGUCUGAGGGAGGGGGAUAACUCCUGGAAACGGUAGCAAAUACCGCAUACCAGCAGAUGUGCCCAGUUGGGAUGAUCUAGUAGGUGGGGUAAUGGCUCACCGAGGCGACAAUCCCUAGCUGGUCUGAGAGGAUGACCAGCCACACUGGAACUGAUACACGGUCCAGACGCCUGCGGUCGGCAGCAGUGGGGAAUAUGGCACAAUGGGCGCAAGCCUGAUGCAGCCAUGCCGCGUGUGUGAAGAAGGCCUUCGGGUUGUAAAGCACUUGCAGCGAGGAGGCGUUACUCGCAGAAGAAGCACCGGCUAACUCCGUGCCAGCAGCCGCGGUAAUAC